CGGAGGGUGCAAGCGUUAUCCGGAUUCACUGGGUUUAAAGGGUGCGUAGGUGGGCUUGUAAGUCAGUGGUGAAAUCUCCGGGCUUAACCCGGAAACUGCCAUUGAUACUAUAGGUCUUGAAUUAUCUGGAGGUCAGCGGAAUAUGUCAUGUAGCGGUGAAAUGCUUAGAUAUGACAUAGAACACCAAUUGCGAAGGCAGCUGGCUACAGGUUGAUUGACACUGAGGCACGAAAGCGUGGGGAUCAAACAGGAUUAGAUACCCUGGUAGUCCACGCCCUAAACGAUGGAUACUCGACAUUUGUGAUACACAAUAAGUGACUGAGCGAAAGCAUUAAGUAUCCCACCUGGGAAGUACGACCGCAAGGUUG
rnacentral:rRNA from 1 species